GACCCCUGAACUGGGACUCCCUACUGGGUUAGAGCCCCGUCUGAAGGAUUCCGAGCCUCUGUAAAGCUCCUUCGACGAGUCGAGUAGUUUGGGAAUGCUGCUCUAAAUGGGAGGUAAACCCCUUCUAAAGCUAAAUACUGGCCAGAGACCGAUAGCGCACAAGUAGAGUGAUCGAAAGAUGAAAAGCACUUUGAAAAGAGAGUUAAACAGCACGUGAAAUUGUUGAAAGGGAAGCGCUUGUGACCAGACUUGCGCCUGGCAGCUCAGCCGUCCCUCCGGGGCGGUGCACUCUGCCGGCUCAGCCAGCAUCAGUUCGCGGUCGGGGAGAAAAGCGGCGGGAACGUGGCUCUUCGGAGUGUUAUAGCCCGCUGCAAUACCCUUCGCGGACUGAGGUUCGCGCAAUGGAUGCUGGCGUAAUGGUUAUCAGCGACCCGUCUUGAAACACGGACCAAGGAGUCGUCCUAAUAUGCCAGUGCUAGGGUGUAAAACCCUUGCGCGGAAUGAAAGUGAACGGAAGUGAAAGCUUCGGCGCAUCAUCGACCGAUCCUGAAGUCUCGGGAUGGGAUUGAGUUAGACAUAUUGGGCCGGACCCGAAGAAGUGACUAUGCCUGGUAGGGUGAAGCCGAGGAAACUUGGUGGAGGCUCCACGGUUUGACUGCAAAUCGACGCAAAAUGGGCUNG
rnacentral:rRNA from 1 species